GCCGGUGUGGCGGAAUUGGCAGACGCGCGCGACUCAAAAUCGUUUGGGGAGACCCGUGGAGGUUCGAGUCCUCUCACCGGUACCA
rnacentral:tRNA from 1 species